rnacentral:tRNA from 1 species
GCAGUGCGUGGCCGAAUGGUUCCGCUGUCCGCUUUGUAAGCGGAUGAUUCUGGGUUCGAUUCCCAUCUGCUCCA